rnacentral:rRNA from 1 species
UACGGGGGGGGUAAGCGUUGUUCGGAAUUACUGGGCGUAAAGGGCUCGUAGGCGGCCAACUAAGUCAUACGUGAAAUCCCUCAGCUUAACUGGGGAACUGCGUGUGAUACUGGAUGGCUUGGAUUUGGGAGAGGGAUGCGGAAUUCCAGGUGUAGCGGUGAAAUGCGUAGAUAUCUGGAGGAACACCGGUGGCGAAGGCGGCAUCCUGGACCAAUAUUGACGCUGAGGAGCGAAAGCUAGGGGAGCGAACGGG